rnacentral:rRNA from 1 species
UACAGAGGUCCCAAGCGUUGUCCGGAUUCAUUGGGCGUAAAGGGUGCGUAGGUGGCGCUGUAAGUCGGGUGUGAAAUUUCGGAGCUUAACUCCGAAACUGCAUUCGAUACUGCGGUGCUUGAGGACUGGAGAGGAGACUGGAAUUCAUGGUGUAGCAGUGAAAUGCGUAGAGAUCAUGAGGAAGACCAGUGGCGAAGGCGGGUCUCUGGACAGUUCCUGACACUAAGGCACGAAGGCCAGGGGAGCAAACGGG